GUAGGGAAUAUUGCACAAUGGGGGAAACCCUGAUGCAGCGACGCCGCGUGAGUGAUGAAGGCCUUCGGGUCGUAAAGCUCUGUCGUAUGGGACUAACACAAUGAAGGUACCAUGCAAGAAAGGAUCGGCUAACUUCGUGCCAGCAGCCGCGGUAAGACGAGGGAUCCUAGCGUUGUUCGGAAUCAUUGGGCGUAAAGCGGGUGUAGGCGGAUUUAUAAGUCAGGUGUGAAAUCCCAGGGCUCAACCCUGGAAGUGCACUUGAUACUGUAAAUCUUGAGUGUGGUAGAGGUUACUGGAAUUGUUGGUGUAGUGGUGAAAUACGUAGAUAUCAACAGGAAUACCGGAGGCGAAGGCGAGUAACUGGGCCAACACUGACGCUGAGACCCGAAAGCGUGGGGAUCAAACAGGAUUAGAAACCCCAGUAGUCU
rnacentral:rRNA from 1 species